ensembl:lncRNA LINC02532 long intergenic non-protein coding RNA 2532
GCUGUCCUUAAGUGUGGCUGUCAUGAGACGCACAAGUUUGCAGGGAAGACUGAGUGCCUAGAUUGCGGGAAGAAAGAUAAAAUUCCUCAGCCUUGUUUACGUCCUAAAUUGGUAGUCUGACUUGGUGAGCUAUAGAUUAUAAGGAGGUUGCUUUGCAGACUGUGAGGAGUCACCGAGCAGCUAUUCAAUGGCAGAGGGCAAGUAGAGCUGCAGCUGUCUGGCGCCACUGUAAUGCUGUCUCCUCCUCUGAGUGAGUUCAUCCUGGAAACAUUUUCUCCCAUAAGACAUGCACAGGUCUUACGUUUACAUGUUUCACUGAAAGAAAUUUGAUUCCACUGCUGGGAUGACAAGGAAGACUGAAGAAACCUAAUCCUAGGUGCUGCCACUGGGACAAACAAGAAGCACCAGACACAGUGCUGUUUUAGGGUGGGGCAGAAUUAUGCUGAGGGAAAAGUUAUUAUCACUCUUUAAGGCCAAGGAAACCACAAUUUUUAAAGAAGCUUCUAGAAAUUCUACCCAGUAGAAAAUAAAGAUAAACUUCUGUAAGGAAUUUCAUUCUUUUCAGAAUUCGCAAUCUGAAAUGUAGAAGCCCAUUCCUUCAUGGUUCUCAUAGAUAUUUAGUGUGACUGAGGGGUCAGUGGACUCAUAGCACUCAGGCCAGGCUUCUCCUGAGUCCCUUUCUUUGGCACAGAGGGAGUGAUUCACAGAUCCUCUACCCCCAAAGGCAUUGUUUCCUCAUCUCAACAAGAAUCCAGCACCCGUCAUUUUAUCAGCACACGUCACUAGCUUCUCAAGUGAGACUACUCUGAAGUGAUCUGUGUUUGAAGAAUGCCUUUCCCUUUCCCUUACGUAACUAAGAGGAUGAAAAAGGACACUCACUCCCUAUAUGAAAGCUGUGUAUUGUAAGCAGUCAUCUUGCCUGGCUGAGAACUCUAGGAUCUUUUUCUCUGCUCUCCUUUAGGCUGACACUCAUAGCCAGACCUUCUGUUUAUUAGCCCCCUGAAUCUAUUUGAAAAUAUUUUUGCUUUCAUUAUAAUAUAAGUCACAUUCUUCUUGCAUCUGCCGCUGCAUUUUCCAAAAGGGUUAUGUCAAGGGAAAUUCAACACUCACUUUUCUCAUUAUUUGCUUACCAGCUUGCUCACUCAUCAAAAUACCAGAGUUAUUUGAUACUUCAGAAGAUUAUUUCCCCCUUUAGAUGAUGUGUCAAGGGAAGGGGAGCUGGCCCCAGUAUCAGGUGACAGAAUUUUCUUCGCAUUUCUACUGUUGACUCAAUAAAUGCCCUUGGGCAAGUCA